UAAACAUGAUUUGAUGUCCCGGUUGUUAACAUAAAAGCAGGUGGCCAUUUAACUUCGGUAAAUAUACUUUCGAUGUCAAGUUUGGGGUUUUAGAAUAUGGGAAAUGCCGCCUGGAGUAGGGGGUAGUUAGAGGUGGUGGUGGUGGUGGGGGCGGGAGCAGCCGUUAGACCAGGGGAAGGAAGGACGGACGAACGAACGUAAUGGGGGCGGAGGGAAACCGUUCGAGGGGACGACCUUAAGACUGGGGUGGGGACGGCUCGUGUUUCAGUUAGCGUUAAAUUUGUUGCAUGUUCGGUGCUCUAAUCAGGCAUGUUGAGAUUAGGUUAGGUUGAUAAACUGUUACAGUGGGUCAGAAGCUUCUUGCCUCAUAAAUUGUAAGUCAGUGGAUUGUUCAUACAGGUAGUUGAUUUUCCUGUUUCUGAAAUAGGAAUAAACAUCACUGAGAGUAAAUAAGUGACUUUUGCAAAAAUAAACAAAAAUGCAUGCUUGCAAACUCAUUAUCGGUUAUUGUAGCUUAGCUUAAAAACUAUAUAACUAGUACUGUUCUAAAUUUGUUGUCAGAACAAAUGAUUUCAUUUAAUUGUUAAAAAAAAACAACAAAUUAUUGAUUUAAUCAUUGGAAGACUUGCAUGUUUUGGUGUUUAUAUGUUUUUCUCCUUGUAUAGUUAUUUUGUUUUCUCUCUUCAACAGCUGCAUCCAGACACUCCUGAACUUUUCCUGGCAAGCAACUAGGCAUCUUUAGAAUAGAGUUUUUCUGGGUUCAAACCCUGAACGAGGUCGACUGACACGUCGCCGACGAAGGUGAAGAAGCAGCUUUGCAUUCCAACCAGAUGGCUCAAUUCCCUUAAUGAACUGAAUGACUGGGAAUCCAUGGAAAAUUUGAGCCUUUUGAAGUUUAAAUGUGAUUGAUCUCAUCAAACCUGGUGCACCAGGAACCUUUGCGAAGCACAAGAACUGGUCAGAACAUUUCAAGCUCUUGGUAACUGGACCUAAGAGUUGGAUUAACCUUUUUUUGCAGAACAUAAACAUAAAAUGGACUGUUUUGUUAUGUUCACAGCGACUAGAGGUAAUGAGAGCACACACUCAUGAAUCCAGUGUCUUCCACUGUCGUUGGCAUUAGGCUGUGUUUAUGUAUUUGAUUUUUAACUGAAUAUUCAUACCUGUAUUUCAUAAAAAAAAUAUUUUGAAGUAUGUUGGUCCUGUUUACAACUAUGAUUUUCAUGAUCCAAAGCAAUUUUUAUAUGUUCCAUGUUAAUUAACAAAAUUGUUUAUUUGAUUUCAAAGACUAGAGUCAAGACUGCUUUACAUUUAAUUUAUAAGUUGAAAGUUUGUAUAGUUAAAUACAAUAAAUUAGUUGUGAUGUACAGAAGAUAAACAUUAGCAAGCUCAAGAAUAUGUUUAGCUCUUAAUGUAUAAUAGCAAAGGUUAGUUAUAAAGACUAGAUGACGUCAAUUUAUGGUCUUAAAUUGCAAAAUAAAGUCUGCAAAUUGUAGAAUGGUUUCAUUUUUAUAUCACUUUGCAUGAGCUACUUUCAAACUCAGUGUUUUGUGUUUUACAACUACAUUUCCUGUGGACUUAGAAAUUAGUUUUGUUUCAAAGUUAUGUUAAGAAUAUAUUAAAUACAUUAACUUUAAUA